rnacentral:rRNA from 1 species
AAUACCGCAUACGACCUACGGGUGAAAGCAGGGGAUCGCAAGACCUUGCGCUAUUGGAGCGGCCGAUAUCAGAUUAGCUUGUUGGUGGGGUAAAAGCCUACCAAGGCGACGAUCUGUAGCUGGUCUGAGAGGACGACCAGCCACACUGGGACUGAGACACGGCCCAGACUCCUACGGGAGGCAGCAGUGGGGAAUUUUGGACAAUGGGCGCAAGCCUGAUCCAGCCAUGCCGCGUGCGGGAAGAAGGCCUUCGGGUUGUAAACCGCUUUUGUCAGGGAAGAAACGGUCCGCGCUAAUACCGUGGACUAAUGACGGUACCUGAAGAAUAAGCACCGGCUAACUACGUGCCAGCAGCCGCGGUAAUACGUAGGGUGCAAGCGUUAAUCGGAAUUACUGGGCGUAAAGCGUGCGCAGGCGGUUAUGCAAGACAGAUGUGAAAUCCCCGGGCUCAACCUGGGAACUGCAUUUGUGACUGCAUGACUUGAGUACGGUAGAGGGGGUGGAAUUC